rnacentral:lncRNA from 1 species
UUGAGCAAGUGCGAGCUGCCCAUCGAGAGGCGCGAGCGGCCGCGGGCCCCGACCACUCCGGCGCGCUGCGCCGCCGCGAGCCCGGCGCGUGGGGCGGCCUCGGCGCCGUCCGCUGCUCCGCCCGCCCGCCUGCGCCUGGCCGCCGCCGUGCCGAGUCUCCGCCGCGCCGCUGAGCCGCGCUCCGACGACCGCGCGGGCGGGGACACGGCGGCGCGCGCGGGCGGGGCCUCGCGGUUGGUCUCCUGGUUCCCAGCGCGGGCGGCGCACGGACUCACGCGGGCGGCUCAGGGCCCGCCCGGCCGGGACGCGGCUGCGGGGCGGGGCGGGGCGGGAGCCUGGCGGGAAGCUCGCGGGGCUGCAGCCCGGCGGAGGCCCCGGGCCUGGUGUUCCGCACGUUCUAAACCGCCUGUCCCCGAGGAAGUCGGGCAGGGUCGGGCCGGACUCAGCGCCGCUGGCGGGAGCGCCGUCCGCCCCGAGGACCCUGCGGGCCCGGAAGCCGAGACAGGGCCGCCCACGUCAGCGCCUGGCGCGGGCCCGAACGUAAAUGGCGCUCCUCCGCGCCGCAGCCGCAGCCGCCCCGCUCCCUUCCCGCUCCGCCAGCUGCCGCCCUCCCGCGCUCGCUUCUCGCCCCGCGGCCUGGCCCGUGCGCCUCCGAGGCUGGCCAGGGGCACCGAGGCCGCGGGCCCCCCAUCGCCCCCACCCGAGCCCUGAUUUACCGUCCGAGAGCCGGCGGCACAUGGGACCCCGAGAGGAGAAGCGCGCCUGCCCCAGUGCGUCCCCAGGCGGGGGAGCCCCGACUCCUGGAGGGACCGCGUCCUGCCCGGCCCGGGAAGUUCAGGGCUGGAGAACCCCUUCCCCGACCCCAUUUCUCUUUUAACAAGAGUAGGGUUUGUAGCUAACCAACGUCCUGACAGCUCAGCUCUGCUUUCCCUUUAAGCAUUAAUAUCAAAGCCCUGCCUGCUACCGGUGAAGCCCCGACCCGGGAGGGCCCGAAAGUCCCUUCAGGGAGAGGCCGCACUGGGCCUGCUCACCCAGGGGCUGCCCCUGCAGACUCUCCCGAGGGGCCCAGGGAUAUUCCUCGCGCCGCGAGUGGACGCUUCCAUCCACCCCAUGGGGAGGGCCUCUGCGCGUGGCUACUCUGAGCCCUCUGGAAUGCCGAGAUAGUUGCAUAAUUUCAGAAACCACGGCAUGGAGACGGAAUGAUGCAGACUCCUAUCCGCGAGAUACCUGCUGUAAUUUCGCUGUGGUUCGUGAGGACGCGUCCUGGGCUGCCCUGAGAAGCCUACGUCUCCCCUUCGAGGCCCGGGAAGACCUCCAACCCCGCUGACAAUGCUGGGCCCUCAGCCAGACCUGCCCUGCGUGCCACGUUCUGUUCUAAGAUCGGGCUGCCGAGCUGUGGCCUGGAGGAAACCUGGCAGGUGGGGCUGCCAUGAGCAGCAAGCUCAGUCCAGAAGAACAGUUCCUCUCCAGGAUCCACUUCCUGCGCACUUUUAUGUGCAGUGUAGCUGGAGCAGAGCUCCCCGGAAUUCCACAGGCAACUGAGAACGGAGAGGGAUGCAGGCCAGCCAGGGAUCCAGCGUCUUCCCCAUCGUCACUCUCCAUGGCCUCCGUCUACACACAGUGUUCGUCUGCACAGCUUGUCAGCGCGUUAUCAUGACUUCUAUUUGGCACCGGCCCGUCUGUCCACUGUCCUGGCUUGUUCCAAGCGCUGCCUUCUCCAACUGGGGUCCUGGCUGCAGAGCUGUCUGCUCCCCACGUUGGGCAACUCCAGCCAAGAUUCCUACACCCAAAUGUGACCGUGUUGCUCACGAAGAAGGCUCAGCUUUGCGUGUGCCCAGCCGUGUGCACAGCUCGUCCCAACUCCUGCGGGUGGCACCUGCCUCUCCCACCUCCAGUCUUUCCCCUGUGAUGAGCAGAUGACCACCGCCCUCCAGGGUCAGCGUUUGGCUGUUUGUGUGCCUGCCCACCCGCCUCCCUGUGCCUGGGCCUGCCCUGUGCCUGCACACAGGAGUGGCUCAUGGCGUUUGCCCUACACGGAUGGGCUGUCCUGGGAGCUACUGGACAGUCACCUUGGUGGGAAUGCCAGAGGCAUGGGCAUUAGGUCCCCCCGGCCAGCCUCCGUUGCCACAUGGGCUAUUUUUGUCCAUCGCGUGGGACAACCUAGUAUUGGGGGAAAACUCAGUCCACUCUAAAGAAGCAUCGGCGUUUUGGAUGGACGAAUGCUGCUUCAUGCGACUCCAUGUCAAUGGACUAUUUUAUUCAACUCGGGUAUUUAUGAGUGUCUCCUCUGUGCCAGCCACGUGUGAAAGAAGAACUCCAAGUUACUGGACACCAGGACAAACCAGGUAGAUCACUGCAUCCGGUUCCUCCUCUUUCUGCCGACUCUCCCGGGCAACCGUUCUGAUUCCUGGCAUGGAGUUGGGGGCGAGCUCAUCAGUACCCAGAGCGCCUGGUGUGCAGCCAAAGGCCCCCAUUUUAUUAGUCGGUGUGUUCAGUAUCACGCUCAAGACAAGGGCCAACCUAUUACUUCACACACCUCAAAUACAAAAAGUGCCUGGGAACGUCGAUGAGGUAUUAAAGGAAACCACUGGUCUUGUCAGUCAUGUACACACAGAAAAAAAAACCAGUCAUUUUUAUUUUUAUUUUUUGAGACAGAGUUUCGCUCUUGUUGCCCAGGCUGGAGUGCAAUGGUGCAAUUUCAGCUCACUGCAAUCUCUGCCACCCGGAUUCAAGCAAUUCUCCUGUCUCAGCCUCCCGAGUAGCUGGAAUUGCAGACACCCAUCACCACGCCCAGCUAAUUUUAUGUAUUUUUAGUAGAGAUGGGGUUUCACCAUGUUGGUCAGGCUGGUCUUGAACUCCUGACCUCAGGUGAUCCACCCACGUCAGGCUCCCAAAGUGCUGAGAUUACAGGCAUGAACCACUGUGCCCAGCCGAAAACAACCAAGAAUUUUUUAACAAUAAAAUGACCAGCAAGUAAACUUGAAACAAAAAUGGACAAAUAUCUAAAAUAUUUUUAAAUGUAUGUAUUUUAAUUGGCAAAUAAUACUUGUAUAUAUUGUUUACAACUUGUUUUAAAGUAUGAAUACAUUGUGGAAUGGCUAAAUCAAGUUAAUUAACAUGCAUUAACUCACAU